CCUACGGGUGGCAGCAGUGAGGAAUAUUGGUCAAUGGACGCAAGUCUGAACCAGCCAUGCCGCGUGCAGGAAGACGGCUCUAUGAGUUGUAAACUGCUUUUGUACGAGGGUAAACGCAGAUACGCGUAUCUGUCUGAAAGUAUCGUACGAAUAAGGAUCGGCUAACUCCGUGCCAGCAGCCGCGGUAAUACGGAGGAUUCAAGCGUUAUCCGGAUUUAUUGGGUUUAAAGGGUGCGUAGGCGGUCGGAUAAGUUAGAGGUGAAAUCCCGAGGCUCAACUUCGGACUUGCCUCUGGUAGUGGGCGGCGAGAGAGUAGUUGCGGUAGGCGGAAGGUAUGGGGUAGCGGUGAAAGGCGGAGAGAUGAUACAGAA
rnacentral:rRNA from 1 species